rnacentral:tRNA from 3 species
UAGGCAGAAGCCAAUUGGCUUGGGCGUCUAGCUGUUAACUAGAAUGUUGCGGGAUCGAAGCCCGCCUGUCUAG